rnacentral:rRNA from 1 species
CUAUCUCAGUUCGGAUUGGAGGCUGAAACCCGCCUCCAUGAAGUUGGAUUCGCUAGUAAUCGCGCAUCAGCCAUGGCGCGGUGAAUACGUUCCCGGGCCUUGUACACACCGCCCGUCAAGCCAUGGGAGCUGGGGGUGCCUGAAGUUCGUGACCGCAAGGAUCGACCUAGGGCAAAACCGGUGACUGGGGCUAAGUCGUAACAAGGUAUC